GUCUAUGAGAGAGUGUACAGUGUGUAUUAGAAUAAACUGAGAGAGUGCUCAGAGUGUGUAUUAGAAUAAACUGAGAGAGUGCUCAGAGUGUGUAUUAGAAUGUACCGAGAGAGUGCUCAGAGUGUGUAUUAGAAUGUACCGAGAGAGUGCUCAGAGUGUGUAUUAGAAUGUACCGAGAGAGUGCUCAGAGUGUGUAUUAGAAUAAACUGAGAGAGUGCUCAGAGUGUGUAUUAGAAUAAACUGAGAGAGUGCUCAGAGUGUGUAUUAGAAUAAACUGAGAGAGUGCUCAGAGUGUGUAUUAGAAUGUACCGAGAGAGUGCACAGAGUGUGUAUUAGAAUGUACCGAGAGAGUGCUCAGAGUGUGUAUUAGAAUGUACAGAGAGAGUGCUCAGAGUGUGUAUUAGAAUGUACAGAGAGAGUGCUCAGAGUGUGUAUUAGAAUGUACCGAGAGAGUGCACAGAGUGUGUAUUAGAAUGUACCGAGAGAGUGCUCAGAGUGUGUAUUAGAAUGUACCGAGAGAGUGCUCAGAGUGUGUAUUAGAAUGUACCGAUAGAGUGUACAGAGUGUGUUUUAGAAUGUACCGAGAGAGUGCACAGAGUGUGUAUUAGAAUGUACAGAGAGAGUGCUCAGAGUGUGUAUUAGAAUGUACAGAGAGAGUGCUCAGAGUGUGUAUUAGAAUGUACAGAGAGAGUGCUCAGAGUGUGUAUUAGAAUGUACCGAGAGAGUGCUCAGAGUGUGUAUUAGAAUGUACCGAGAGAGUGCUCAGAGUGUGUAUUAGAAUGUACCGAGAGAGUGUACAGAGUGUGUAUUAGAAUGUACCGAGAGAGUGCUCAGAGUGUGUAUUAGAAUUGCUCAGAGUACUAUUAGAAUGUACUGAGAGAGUGUGCAUGACUGGUAGAGGACACGGGACACUGCCCUGAUUGGUUGUCUCACUGAAGGCAUAGAGCGGUGAAAGUGAUCUAGUGUUGGUUGCCACGGUCCUCCAUUCCCUGUCCCUCCAGCCCCUCUUUCUCACGUAGAUACCUGCUGCCCCGAUUCUGGAUUGGCCUCUGAAAACUGGCGUUUUAUGGGGUUUCAACUGAGUGAUACCUGAACUAUUUAUUUAUCUUUCUGGGUUUUGCUUGUUUGUUUACCUAUUUACCAAAGAAUGAAUAAAACUGACAUAUCCUGGGAA